CGGAUAUGAGCUCCUGUCGCAUGGCGGGUGUUGGAAAGUUUUUCGGUGAAGGAUGGGCUCGCGGCCUAUCAGUUUGUUGGUGAGGUAGUGGCUCACCAAGGCGAUGACGGGUAGCCGGCCUGAGAGGGCGACCGGCCACACUGGGACUGAGACACGGCCCAGACUCCUACGGGAGGCAGCAGUGGGGAAUAUUGCACAAUGGGCGAAAGCCUGAUGCAGCGACGCCGCGUGAGGGAUGACGGCCUUCGGGUUGUAAACCUCUUUCAGCAGGGAAGAAGCGAAAGUGACGGUACCUGCAGAAGAAGCGCCGGCUAACUACGUGCCAGCAGCCGCGGUAAUACGUAGGGCGCAAGCGUUGUCCGGAAUUAUUGGGCGUAAAGAGCUUGUAGGUGGCUUGUCGCGUCUGCCGUGAAAACCCGAGGCUCAACCUCGGGCGUGCGGUGGGUACGGGCAGGCUAGAGUGUGGUAGGGGAGACUGGAACUCCUGGUGUAGCGGUGAAAUGCGCAGAUAUCAGGAAGAACACCGAUGGCGAAGGCAGGUCUCUGGGCCAUUACUGACACUGAGAAGCGAAAGCAUGGGGAGCGAACAGGAUUAGAUACCCUGGUAGUCCAUGCCG
rnacentral:rRNA from 1 species